AUGACGAGGUUUCUCUUGAAGCAAGCAAAGCGACCGCCUAAGCAUGCUUUCGAGGCAACUUAAGAUAGGAAAAAAACUCAAGAGUUCAGUGAUCAAACACCAACAGAGCCUCGUGAUAAGUUGCCUGUAAAGAGGAGCAUGAACCCAU